GAUGAACGCUGGCGGCGUGCCUAAUACAUGCAAGUCGAGCGAACAGACGAGGAGCUUGCUCCUCUGACGUUAGCGGCGGACGGGUGAGUAACACGUGGAUAACCUACCUAUAAGACUGGGAUAACUUCGGGAAACCGGAGCUAAUACCGGAUAAUAUAUUGAACCGCAUGGGUCAAGAGUGAAAGACGGUUUUGCUGUCACUUAUAGAUGAAUCCGGGCCGCAUUAGCUAGUGGGUAAGGUAACGGCUUACCAAGGCAACGAUGGGGAGCCGCCCUGAAAGCGUCGUUGCAUAGCUGGGCAGUGAGGCACGGCCCACACUCCUGCGGGGGGACGCAGUCGGGACUCCUACGCGAUGGAGCAGUGCCUGACGUUGCACCGCCGGGUAAGUGAUGAUGGUCUUCGGAUGCUAGAGCUCUGUUAUCCGGGGAGAUCAAAUGUGUAAGUACCUAUGCACGUCUUGACGGUACCUAAUCAGAAAGCCACGGCUAACUCCGUG
rnacentral:rRNA from 1 species